ACCUUCUUAGUGUAGUGGUCAGCACGCUCGAUGUGUAACCGAGAGGCCCGUGGUUCGAUUCCCGGCGAAGUCU
rnacentral:tRNA from 1 species